GGAAAGCAGGACUGUGGUCCAACCCACUGCGCCACCGCACCCCCGUACUCAGGAAAACAAGCAAAGUAAUCCUGGGGCUCUGGAGGCAGACGGCCCGGCGCUGCCUCAGGGGACUAGACACAGCAAGCCUGACAGCACUGGGAAAGAGCAAUGCUCCAAUGCUGCCUGUCUCUUCUCCAAAAAGCUCAACUUGACCACCCUGCAGAAACGUUCUUGGAAUCGCUGCAGG